AACGUAGGAGACAAACGUUUAUCCGGAGUUACUGGGCGUAAAGGGCGUGUAGGUGGUUACGUAAGUCUGGCGUGAAAUUUCUCGGCUUAACCGAGGCAGGUCGUCGGAUACUGCGAGACUAGAGGACGGUAGAGGCGUGUGGAAUUCCGGGUGUAGUGGUGAAAUGCGUAGAGAUCCGGAGGAACACCAGUGGCGAAGGCGAACACGCUGGGCCGUACCUGACACUGAGGCGCGAUAGCAUGGGGAGCAA
rnacentral:rRNA from 1 species